AGGACGAACGCUGGCGGCGUGCCUAAUACAUGCAAGUCGAACGGUCUUUCUAUGGAAGCUUGCUUCCGCUGAGAAGAUAGUGGCGAACGGGUGAGUAACACGUGGGUAACCUGCCCAUAAGAGGGGGGAUAACAUCCGGAAACGGGUGCUAAUACCGCAUAGUUUUCUUGAUCGCAUGAUCGGGAAAGAAAAGACGGCCUUUGUGCUGUCGCUUAUGGAUGGACCCGCGGCGUAUUAGUUAGUUGGUGAGGUAACGGCUCACCAAGACGAUGAUACGUAGCCGACCUGAGAGGGUGAUCGGCCACAUUGGGACUGAGACACGGCCCAAACUCCUACGGGAGGCAGCAGUAGGGAAUCUUCCGCAAUGGACGAAAGUCUGACGGAGCAACGCCGCGUGAGUGAAGAAAGGUUUUCGGAUCGUAAAACUCUGUUGUCAGAGAAGAACAAGUUGGAGAGUAACUGCUCCAGCCUUGACGGUAUCUGACCAGAAAGCCACGGCUAACUACGUGCCAGCCGCCGC
rnacentral:rRNA from 1 species